UCAACAAUUACAGUCAGGGCAGUCUGCUAAUUGUAUCAGCAACAUAUACUGCACCAUGGACCGCCGGGUCAAGAACUCCAGCUUGGAAAAGUACCUUUAGCAUGCGCUAUGCAAUGGCAGCUACCCAAAUGCUAAGAAUAACAGGUAAUACCUCUCUCUGGCAUUGAAUUUAUUCAGAAGUGUUCGGCUAUAAUAAUUAUCAUUGUUUGCUUGCUAAACAAAUAUGAUAAUGCUCCUUUAUUAGUACAAAUUUUGGUGCAUUCAUACAUGCAUUAGAUGCGGAUAGUAGUAUACUAAAGCAAAUUUUCAUACUAACUACGAGGUUCACUGUGACAAGAGAUCAAGUAUUCACACUCUGCCAUUUUGUUUGCUAGAUAGAUGCACUUGAAUGUCUUUCUUCCAUGACUCUUAACUAUGCCACUCUAUCCACUCUGGAACCACACAAAACGGUAAUACUUGAUGAAUAUUAGGUUCCUAGGUCUCAUAUGCCAUAUGUUGCUUAACACCGCACCUGUUCUAACUAGCAUCACAAAAUCCUUCAAGUUCUCAUGUAAUCUAAAACAUCCCUCUUUACACAGAUUUACAUAACUCUGAUUCACAAUAUAAAAUUGUACCUCUUAAUUUAGGAAUCACUCACCCUCACCAGCGUGUUGAUGAAUUGACAAGAUGACUAGCUCUCUAGAUUUUUCACUUUCCUUUAUAUAUUACAAAUUUAAAUCUGUCGGUCCUAAUGUCAUAUUGAUUAGAAGAAAUGAUACAAAAUUACUGAUACAGUUCACUGGUGAUAUUACUUCAUUUUCAUAACUGACACAGUUAGAAUGCGCAGAGCUACUCUGAUGCUUUCCAUUUUGUGUGUGAUAUUGUAGCAUGUUAAUUUGGAUCUCCAAGACACAGAUUCUCUCUUUCCUUCUCUGCAGUAUCUAAUUUCAAGUGUGUUGCUUUUCCUUUUCCAUUGCCUAAUUGGAGUGAUAUUUUAGCAUUUUAUUGCAAUGCCACUGUGGUACAUGAGAGCAUGUAUAUAAUGAUUGGUAACAUCAAGCUUUUUACCAAUUUAUACUGAUUUAAACUUGUUGAUAUGGCAAUAGGGUGUCCAGUGUACAUGAUUGUCGAUUAAAUUUUUAUAUAAUCUUCUUCCAAUUUGUUCCACUAUGGAUAUGGACCUUUUUUCUAUGAACUCCCUUUUAUACCUUGAUCUGUUUUUGUUCGUGGUGCAACUUAAGACCAUCCUGACAUAUUGACUUAUAUUGUCAUUUUUCUGAAAGCCACAUUUUCAGGUCUUAGGGUAUAGGUUUUUCAUAAUUUCAGAUUAGCUAUCCCAGUCUCAAAAAUUUUAAAUUGGGUGGACCGUGUGCGGGUACAUCAACAAGAAGUUCAGGAAUAAUUACAGGGUGACGAUCCUAGAUCCCCCCCCACCUCCGACUCGAGCAAGGAGCAGCUGCUCCUCCAACCUCGAACCGCCGACCUCAUAGGCCCAAGCAGGGGUGGCGCGCCUCGUCCUCGUCUUUCUCUCAGCGCGGAUAGAGAUGGCGACGGCGGCGGCUGGAUCUGGCUAAGUGGCCAGUGAGGAUGAUGGCUUCACCCCCCAGUCAAAGUCAACCGGCCACUUCCAUUGGGCGUCGCCAUGUUCUUCCUCACGCGUCGCCGACCGGCGGCGAGAAAGAGGACAUCGUGAGGCUCGAGGAGGUUGCCAUCACCACCGGCGAAGAGGACGAGGACCUCCUACUCGAUAUGACAACUCAGCCGUGAACUUUAAAAGAGCAGACAAGGUUCUGGUAUUGGAGUCUGGGCUGAUAAUUUUUGAUUAUCUUCACUUGAAUGUGUAAAGUUUUGUUUAAUCCAUUUUCCUUUUGUUACUUGUGUUUGCACGUCUCUUAACCUGACAAACAUUUGACACCUGAAGCCUUCCUGUGUAGGUGGGAAAGUGAUUCAAGAAAUUUAUAUAGUGUUACCUGAAUGCACAAGAGUUGCUGCCAGGACUCCAUUAGUACAGAUGUCUCUGCUAAAUGGUUUGUUCGACCGCAUGGGAUUGCUAAUGGAGAUGCCGAGGAAGACAAGUAGAGAUGUGUGAUGUACUCUUGUCAUCUACAUGGAUAGAUUCUUCUGUCCUAAAUCACGUGGAAGGUUGCAAUCACUGUACGGGCACCUAAAUUACUCCUUCUGCUUGACUAUAGGAGAUUUAUACGCGUUGCUCAAGUAUGUCAUGAGGUUAGCAAAGGACUUGAGUAUACAUGAAAGUAUAAGCACCAUGAUUUAUUCAGAUGUUUGACACUUGACAGUAUCCGAGAUGCCGCAGCAAGGUCUGGUGUAGUGUUUUACAAUGUUGCCAUUUCUUCAAUUUGCAAAAAAUGGGAAACUGAUCGUGCCAUUGAUUUAUUUCGCCCACAUGGUGUUGAUUAUUUCAUAAUUCAUCAUUUUUAUUAACAUAUUCAUGUGAAGUGUAAUCUUGAAUGUUGCAGACUAUACCAUCUGAAAUGUCCUUUAUUAAUAACUGUUGGAGUGUAUAUCCUUCGUUAGAGUGAGUACGAAAAACUGAACCAAAGAGGGAAUGUAAUGUUGUCAGCGAGGAUGGGAUUCUUAUGCCUCAGGUUUCCGUUUGUAUCAUUGAGACUUGAGAGUAGAUUGUAGGGUAAUACAUUCUACAUGCAUGUGUGUUGUAGUUGUAGCAAGUUAGACAAGGUACCCCGCUAAUGCCGAGAGUAUGGAGCCGACGAAGGCUAUCAACAACAAGCUCCAGGAGGAGAAUGGUCUAACCUAUAGCCCAGAUCAGGUUCUAGCGUCCAAUGGAGCUAAGCAGUGCAUUACACAAGCUAUGCUUGCUCUUUUCUCACGUGGUGAUGUGGCAAAGUUAUCAUCCUUGUACAUUGAUUUUUUAGGACAAAUACUUUUCAUACUAGCUUAGACAAUACCAUGAAAAUAGUAGCACCAAGUGGUUAUCAUGUACUCCUUUUGUUGUCCCCAGUUCUUAAAAGUUAGCAGAUUGCUUAUAAAUGUAUUGUAGCACAUUUGGUUGUGAUGAUGCAGGUCUAGAAAUAGUUCUGAACAU